AGGAAGACUCAACAUAAUUUAAAGAUGGCACCUUACAAAAAGAACUCAAUAGACAAGAAGAGGAGGCAGUAAUAAACAAUUAUUUUCAAGACAGAGUUACCUAAAAUCUUUCCUUGGUUUCUUACCGGCUACAGGACACUUUUCAAACUCUUUGGUUUCACUUUGACAAACUUGCUUCUUGCAAUUCUCCUAAGGUUGUGUGUAUACAACCACGUGGGAUGUGGUGAAUUUAGUCGGCUACAAUGUUAAUAGUCUCUUCUCUAUACAUAAAAUUAGAUUACUAAAAUCCCUAUGUAAGAAACUUACAGUCCCUCCAGGGAAA
rnacentral:lncRNA from 1 species